rnacentral:rRNA from 1 species
GCUACUGCCAUCAGAGUUCGAUUAAGCCAUGUUAGUCGAGGGUACCUCUUCUUCUUCGGAGGAUGAGGUAACCCGGCGGACGGCUCAGUAACACGUGGAUAACUUGCCCUUGGGUCUGGGAUAACCCCUGGGAAACUGGGGCUAAUACCGGAUAGAGCAUCGAUCGCUGGAAUGCAUGAUGCUCGAAAACUACGGUGCCCAAGGAUAGGUCUGCGGCUGAUUAGGUUGUUGUUGUUGUAAUGGACCAACAAGCCUACGAUCGGUACGGGUUGUGAGAGCAAUAGCCCGGAGAUGGGUUCUGAGAAAAGAACCCAGGUCCUACGGGACGCAUCAGGCGCGAAAACUUUACAAUGUGCGAAAGCACGAUAAGGGAACUCUGAGUGCCCCCUAAGGGGGCUGUUCUAGUGUCUAAAAAGCAAUAGAAGUAAGGGCUGGGCAAGACCGGUGCCAGCCGCCGCGGUAACACCGGCAGCCCAAGUGGUAGCCACGUUUAUUGGGUCUAAAGCGUUCGUAGCCGGCUUGGUAAGUUCCUUGGUAAAUUUAGCCGCUUAACGGUUAAGCUUUCAGGGAAUACUGCUUGGCUUGGGACUGGGAGAGGUCAGAGGUACUCCAGGGGUAGGGGUGAAAUCCAUUAAUCCUUGGGGGACCACCGGUAGCGAAGGCGUCUGACCAGACCAGCUCCGACGGUGAGGGACGAAGGCUAGGGGCGCGAACCGGAUUAGAUACCCGGGUAGUCCUAGCUGUAAACGAUGCGGGCUAGGUGUUGGCAUUACUGCGAGUGGUGCCAGUGCCGAAGGGAAGCCGUUAAGCUCGCCAUCUGGGGAGUACGGUCGCAAGGCUUAAACUUAAAGGAAUUGGCGGGGGAGCACCACAACGGGUGGAGCCUGCGGUUCAAUUGGAUUCAACGCCGGA